rnacentral:misc_RNA from 1 species
UGCCAGCCUCGGGAAAUCCUG